GGCUGGUUCCGUCCUUAGGUUGGCGCACGGAUCCAUUCCUCGUGAGUAGGAUCUGUGUAGAUACUCCUCGUCACAAUUCCCCCACUUCACAUGAAUUCUUAGCCAAAACCCUCACACUCAGAUCCGAUUCCUGUUGCUAAUAUUGGCAAAUAUGUGUUUUCUUAUUAUUUUUUCGUGUUUUUUUUUACCUCUACCAUUACAAUCUGAAGGUAGAUUUGAAGAGGGAGGCUGUUCUGGCCGGAACGGUCGUCGUCUACAGCGUUCUAAAGAUGCCCGUGCUCUGGAGCUCUUCCCUCGACGCCGACGCCGACGCAGCAGCCACUAAUCGACAUUCAUCAUCAACGGUACUGUCCUAGAGCACUGUAGUGGCGUUGUAGGCUACAGUGGUUAGCGUUAGUUGCUUGUUCUAGGUUAGUCGUCCUACUCGUCUACCAUUUGCCUCAACAGCUUUUCUGUCUCCCUCCUCGUAAUAGCCAGAUCGGGUGGCUGUGUUCUUUUCCAGCUCCGCAGGUGUUCGUCACAGAAGAUCGUGGUGGGAAGAAAACCGCAAGGAGAGUUAAUCACUAGUGGUCUUGUUGUAGCUUUUUAGCCUGCGAUAAUCCUUGUGGGUGGCUGGCUUGCUGAGGAUUGUCUUGUAUUGAAGUACAGUUCGUUAGAGAUGGUUGGAGGGCAUUAACGGGUCGUGGCCAAGGACCGAAAUUGCGGCGGGUGGAGGGUAUGGAGACUAGGGUGUGAGUUCAGGAAAAGAUGGUGUGGUGAAGGAGGUGGGAAAGAUGACGAGUUUUUGUGUCAUUGAGGAAAUUCUGACGGAUUUGUAAAGAGUUUCUGCAGAGGAGCUUGUUUUACCAAUGGUUGCCCUAGCUUGGGUAGUGGUACAUAAGUUCCUGUGGGCGCUAUGGAAGGUGUAGAGAAAGAGCGGACAGGUUGGAUAGCUGGGGAGGAGAAGGUUAAACAGGCGUAGUGUGAAGGAUCUGUGGCGUUUCGGUUGGCAUUGCUUGCGUUGUAUGUUGUUUCUUAUGUGGCUGGUGCACUUUGUUCUGUGCUGCUCGGAAUUUGACCUGGUCUUAUGUAUGAGAAAUAAGACCUUUGAGGUGUUCCCUUGGGAGAGUUUGGACGUUAGAGAUAACAGAGUACUGACGUACGGAUUCUGCACGUAAUAGGGCUUACACAGCGUGAGAUAGUGAAUGAGUUCGAUAAGAAGUCGGGAAACUAAUUGGCGAGGUCGAGGCAAACUCUUCUUAUUGGUGAGGUUCUAGUUGCCAUGGCCUUUGCUGUCAUUUGAAGUGGGAGAUGGAGCCCUGACCUUCAACAGCUGGUUUGGAAUUAGGGAAGAGGAGGGGCUGAACAGGACGCACUUGCCUCGUGCUUCGGGCCUGUGUCCCGCGGCAUUCGAUCUUGAAGCGAGGAUCUAUAGUUGUAGUGAAUUGGAGGUUUCUGUUGGAACGUGUCAGUGCGAGGUCUAAGUUCUUUGCCCUCCAGCAAUGGUUGGCGGUCAUACAUGAUAAGGAUCUACUGUGAGACGACAUCUGUAAAUGCCAGCUAUGGCGCUCUGCCGUUGAUGACAUAAACAUUGGAAGGACGAAACGUUUGUGUCCUACCUCUUCUCAGGAUCCAUCCUGAGGUAUUCUGGCAUUUUGCAUUACGGUCGCCAGAGAUUCUCCCAAGGAUGUGAACUCGUAGACAUCCGUUCUAUGAAUUGAUGUUAUCAAGCAUAUAUCUGUCUGUAAAGUUGAUGGCACGAGGUGGAUGCUGCUGGAGUGGGCCAUUUUGUCUUGGCUCAUUAUCCCGCAAGAACAAGAAGCGAAUUGUUCCGGCAACCAGAGUGCACGAUGGAACUGCACAGCCAUCUGACCCUCAGGGCCAGUUUGCCUUCCUACUUGCACCCCCUUCGUCUCCUGCUUCCUAUGCAAAUUCUAUGGCACCUUCCUCUGUUCAGUCGCCCUACUACCCUUCAUCGUGUCCUGUUCCUCAGGGUGGUGGGUCUAGGAUUCCUCUAGAAACACAGUCUAACAUGUUCGCUGUAGGUCCGUAUGCACAUGAAACCGCUCUAGUCUCUCCACCAGUUUUUUCUACGUUCACAACUGCUCCCUCCACAGCUCCUUUUACGCCCCCUCCAGAGCUUGCAGCCCAUUUCACUACGCCUUCUUCCCCUGAUGUUCCUUUCGCAAAGCUGUUAGGAUCUUCGUUCUCAGAACAGCGAACUACGAAGCGAGAAGCGGAGCCUCCAUACUCAGCCUCUCCAUUCGCUUCCCCAGAUUACUAUCAGCAAGAUCACCAUCCGCAGGAUGACUUGCAGGUUGGGUAUCAGUUAUAUCCAGGAAGUCCGCUUGGUCGUUUAAUUUCUCCUGCAGGCACCACGGGCGCGUCAACUCCUUUUGCUGCAGGUGGCACUACUGGUACUAAUACUCCUCAUGCAGAGAGUGACAAUCCUACUCCACUGACUGUCCUUCCAGCAGUGGUAAGCACUUUACCUAACCUUGAGCACCAGGUGGCUGAAGGGCUUCAUCAGAGGAGUAUUCUUGAUUCUCAGUGCGGGCCAGGGGAACCUCUGAGUGACAGUGGUAGAGAGCGGCAUGGGAGCUUUGACAGUCACUCGCGGUUCAUGGUAGCAAUGAUACACGAACGCGAUGGAUCUGAUUCCAACUCAAAUUCGUAUGGACAUGAGCGGUACAGCGGAAGUUUGACUGGGCUUAAUGACGUCUUGGAGGGACGGAACAGGUAUACGAAGUUGAAGCAGGACAAGGGUCCUCGAUCCUCUAGUCUGAGAUCCCAUGAGAAAGAGGAUGAUAUUCAGGAAGAGGACUUGCUUGAACUUCCCAUGCUAUUAGGCAGUGAGAGUUCUCAUGGUGGUUCGAGAGCAUCACGGUCUCCAAGUAGUAGAAGUAAAGUUCAGAGCAAGGCAGGGAGCAGAGUAGGGAGCAGGGUAGAAAGUAAGGCAGCUAGCAGGGUAGGGAGUAAGGCUGGGUCUGAUGCCUUGAAAGAUUGGGAUCACAACGAGGAUAACUUAUUGGAAUAUGCACUAAGCUUGCUUGAAGGAACUGAUGGAAAAAGACCCGGAACAAUCGGGUGGGCGCCAGUGGAUACCUCGCUCCCACGAGAAUCUGAAGGUCCCAUUCAGUCAUCCUCUACCACGAGAAACGAGACCGAGGAGAAUGAAAAGGAUACUGUGUAUAAAAGUAUCAAGAAUGGUAAAGGUAGCGACAAUGUGCCCCAGCAAGUAGUGGGGGCGGGAGCAAAGGAGGUUUCUGAGGGAACGAUUACUCCGGUUGGACAUCAUGGUAGUGCACCUGGUAAGCAACCUGAAGAUAGGAAAACAGAUAGAUUGCUGUUCGAGAUGCGAAUCGCUUGUCUCUCAGUGUGAGCAGCUAUCAGUGGCUUUGAAGGAGGCUAGAAGGAAACAACAAGAGAAAGAUCGACUUGCGGAGGAAAGAGAAAAACAAAUAAGGCACCUUACACAGCUACUGCAGUCAGGGGGUUUACAGAAAUUUGUCGGGGAUUUUCCAAAGGCUGCCAACCAAGUGGGCGAGGGCAACAAUGUCAAAGACAUAUCCUGAUAUAGGCAUUUUUCACAAGUUUAUCAACCUUUCCAAACAGACAUUACAUGCAUAAGUAAUAACAAGAGCUUGUGGUCAAUCUGGAUAGGAACAGGGCAGUUUCUUACAAGUCCUAGAUCUGUUGGACGAGCACAUGCCGGAGGUACCAUAUUUAGCCAGACAUUCGAAUCACUGAAAAGCCUCAAUAGAUCUUGUAAUGGGUUUCACCUGGGGAUAGACGUUUAUGGUAUCAUACAGUAUUUUACGAUUUGCAGAGUCACUGUCUGAUAGGUUAAACAGCAUUUCCGACAUGUGGUUUAAACUUCGUUCAACUUUGUAUCAGGAAUACCUGAGUCGAGCAAGCUUAUUCUGCCCUGUUUCUGAAGAAUUCAACUUCUCCGCAGGUUAGCGAGUCAGCGAGCAUCGGGUUUUCUUUGAGGGAAAUCGGAAGCUCUGUCAUUUCUUAUGGGCACCAAGGCAUGAGACUCAUCUUCUAUUAUUAUCAUGUUUGACACUCGUUUGAGAAACCUGGCUUUCAGAAUCUUUGCUGGGUUUUAGUCA